UACGUAUGGUGCAAGCGUUAUCCGGAUUUACUGGGUGUAAAGGGUGAGUAGGCGGUUUGUCAAGUCAUAUGUGAAAUUCUCAGGCUCAACCUGAGCGGUGCAUAAGAAACUGGUGAACUAGAGUGCAGGAGAGGUAAGUGGAAUUCCUAGUGUAGCGGUGAAAUGCGUAGAUAUUAGGAAGAACACCAGUGGCGAAGGCGACUUACUGGACUGUUACUGACGCUGAGUCACGAAAGCGUGGGGAGCGAACAGG
rnacentral:rRNA from 1 species